GUCUAUGGUCAUACCACCCUGAACGCGCCCGAUCUCGUCUGAUCUCAGAGGCUAAGCAGGGUUGGACCUGGUUAGUUCUUAGAUGGGAAACAAUCCCAGUGUCUAGAAU
ensembl:rRNA 5S_rRNA 5S ribosomal RNA